GAUGAACGCUGGCGGCGUGCUUAACACAUGCAAGUCGAACGAAGCAUUUAGAACAGAUUUCUUCGGUUUGAAGUUCUUUAUGACUGAGUGGCGGACGGGUGAGUAACGCGUGGGUAACCUGCCUUGUACUGGGGGAUAGCAGCUGGAAACGGCUGGUAAUACCGCAUAAGCGCACAAUGUUGCAUGACAUGGUGUGAAAAAGUCCGGUGGUAUAAGAUGGACCCGCGUCUGAUUAGCUAGUUGGUGAGAUAACAGCCCACCAAGGCGACGAUCAGUAGCCGACCUGAGAGGGUGACCGGCCACACUGGGACUGAGACACGGCCCAGACUCCUACGGGAGGCAGCAGUGGGGAAUAUUGCACAAUGGAGGAAACUCUGAUGCCGCGACGCCGCGCGAGUGAAGAAGUAAUUCGUUAUGUAAAGCUCUAUCAGCAGGGAAGAUAGUGACGGUACCUGACUAAGAAGCUCCGGCUAACUACGUG
rnacentral:rRNA from 1 species